AGAAAAAAGGAGAGGGGCCAAACACCCUCUCCCCUUUCUCUCUUUCCUCGGCCCAAGUCAAAUGAUUCGACUAUUUCUCACUCAAAAUCGUUCCAAACACGGUAUAGGUCGCUUUCAUCUUCGAUUUUCCUUUUAGUUUUUGAAUUUAUUACACGAUUUCUGCAUUUGUUCUUUAUUUUCACUAUAAUAUUGUUGUAUUUUGUUCGAUUCUUAUUGGUUGAGUUAGAUCUUCAUUUGCAAGAGUAAUUUAAACGAAUCUAGUUCAUCCCACAUCGUUGAUCUUAUGUUUUCUCACAGUCUUGGGGUUCUAUUUAUGGAACCCCAACCUUCGAACAAAACAGAAGUUUUCAGCACUAGAAAAAACUGAAAGCUAAGAAUUUUAAGUUUAAACUUGAAAGUGAAAGCAAAGUAUAAUUUUAGACUCAAAAGGAAAAUAAUUUCUGCCUGGUUUGAGUCUCUCAGUGAAAAUUUUAGUUAUUCUUUUUAUUUUUUAUCGUGGUUGAGUUUGGAUUGGAAGCAUAAGAGGCUUGCGAAUCUGUUCUUGACAAGGAUUGCAUCAAAAAAAGUUGCAUCUGUACUCCAACUUGGGAUGAAGGCUAAAACUGCUCAAUGAUAUUGGAUCAUAACCAUGCACUAGUGCUUGAUUGUGGUAAGGUUGAGGAUCACUUGGGGUUGGCCAAACCUUCCCCCAGUGCCAGCCAUGCCUGGGGUUGAUGAAACCCCUUGGAUCUUGUGCGACACUAGAAACAAGGAGUGUGACAACAACCCUAAUACCACUCCAAUAUACUCAGCCCACACAUCGCUAAAAUGCAUCAUGGAAAAAUAUCAUGCUAGGGCAGCUUAGCUGUUUUAUCUCAAUGUUAUUAUUGUAUGUGUAUAUUUUCCAUGUAUAUUCCUUCCCCCCCUCCUCUUCGCAUGGCUACUUGGGCAGGGGAUACAGCCUCGUACGAAAAAAAGGGGAAGCUAAUAUAUAUGUCUAUGAAGGCCCAAUCAUGGGUGAAAAUGGUUAAGGGGUUUGGUACACCCCAAGCUUUGCUUUCUUUAUUUUUGUGAUAUGAUAUGUUUUACCUUCGCAUUUGUAUUUGUAAAACUCACAACAUUAUUGGAAACCAAAUGGUUGGAAUUAGACAUUUUAGGCAAACGGUACUUAAGCCGUUUAGUUUGA